rnacentral:rRNA from 1 species
CCCUUAGAUGUUCUGGGCCGCACGCGCGCUACACUGACGAAGUCAGCGAGCAUGUCCUACGCCGACAGGUGCGGGGAAUCUUGUCAAACUUCGUCGUGAUGGGGAUUGAUUAUUGAAAUUCUUGAUCAUCAACGAGGAAUUCCUAGUAAGCGCAAGUCAGCAGCUUGCGUUGAUUACGUCCCUGCCCUUUGUACACACCGCCCGUCGCUACUACCGAUUGAAUGGUUUAGUGAGAUCUUCGGAUUGGCGCCACUGCGGCUCAGCAAUGGGCUCGGUGGAUGCCGAAAAGUUGAUUAAACUUGAUCAUUUAGAGGAAGUAAAAGUCGUAACA